GUGCUCUCUUUAGCAAUACAUAUACAAAAACUGGAAUGGCACAGAGAUUAUCAUGGCCCCUGAGCAACAAUGACAAACAAGUUCACGAAGCGUUCCAUGCUUUU